UUAAAACAUCAAAACAAUCAGAUUUAUAUGCGGCAAGGGGGGAGAAAGUUGAGAUUUAUACUUGCAAGUCUCACUAUUUUUGGUUGUAGAGGAUGAAAUACAAACCCAAACGAUCAUUUCUGUCAAGGUUUAGCAGCAAAGCUCCUUCUCUAUAUGCUACAGAUCUCCCUCGUUUUUGCAAGUCUCACCAGUUUUGACAGACGAAAAUUUUUGUCCAUGUUUAGCAGGAGAGCUUCCUCUCUAUGUGCUGCAGAUCUCAAACGUUUCUUUUCUUCCUCUCCUCCUUCUUCCUCUGUCUCUUUCCUCUUUUUUCCCUUCGCCUUGUUUCUUCUUCUCUGCUUUGUAUCCUUUUUUCUUUCUUUCACGUUCCAGUGAAGGUUUUUUUUUUUUACUGUCUCCUGGUAUCAAAGAAAAGC
rnacentral:lncRNA from 1 species